UCGCUCCUACCGAUUGAAUGUGCUGGUGAAAUGUUCGGAUUGAGUGUGCAUGGCGGUUCGCCGCCGGCGCGUUCGAGAAGUUCAUUAAACCCUCCCAUUUAGAGGAAGGAG
rnacentral:rRNA from 1 species